UAACUACCAUGAAAUGUAAAACUCAGGUCCA
rnacentral:piRNA from 1 species